AUAGCAAAAUUUUAUUAGUCCCCUACCGGUUUACCGGAGGGGACUUUAGGUUUACCCUCCGUCCGUCAGUCCGUCCGUCUGUCCGUCCGUCAGUCCGUCCGUCCACAAAACUGGAUCCCGCGUUAACGCAAAAAAUACUGAAGAUAUUUUAAUGAAACUUGAUAUAUGGAUAGAUGGCAGUAUGGAGAUUAUGCACGUCUUUUUCUUUUCUUCCUAUGUUGAAAAUUCUGGUUGCUAUGGCAACAAAUAGACUGAAAAUAUGGCAAAUUUUACACAUAACCUGGAUCCCGCGAUAACGCAAAAAGUACUGAAAAUAUUUUUAUGAAACUUGAUAUAUGGAUAGAUGGCAGUAUGGAGAUUAUGCACGUUUUUUUCUUUUCUUCCUAUGUUGAAAAUUCUGGUUGCUAUGGCAACAAAUAGACUGAAAAUAUGGCAAAUUUUACACAUAACCUGGAUCCAGUGAUAACACAAAAAGUACUGAAAAUAUUUUUAUGAAACUUGACAUAUGGGUAGAUGGCAGUAUGGAAAUUAUGCACAUCCUUUUUUAUCUUCCUAUGUUGAAAAUUCUGGUUGCUAUGGCAACAAAUGGACUGAAUUUCAAGAUUUCUGAUUCUAGUUUUUAAGUUUUUUCACUAUAAGUUCUUUAUUUCUUAAGGUAUUUUCUAUAAACUUUAAAUAUAAGUUGCUUGUCAUCAACCACAUCAUAUGUGACAAGGUUUACAACUCUAGCACAAAAUUUAUCAGAAUUACCUCCCUUGAACUUAAAAUUUUCAUGAAAAAAACAUUGUUUUUUUUAAUAACUUCUUUUUCUGAAUGUAUCUUCUUCAAACUUCAUAUAAAUGUUUCUUAUUGUCACUCAACAUUUGUGAGUGUUCAAUACUCGAGCAAGACUAUUUCCAGAAUUAUGCCCCUUUUGAACUUAGACUUUUUUUUGAGAAAUUGGUAAUUUUUACUCCAACUUCUUCAAUCAUGAUAGGAUUUUUAAAAUGUUAUAUUUUGAUAACAGGGAUGUUUAAAAAAUAACUUUAGAGUGUCCUUCAGUCCGUCUGUCUGUACAUAAAAACUGUUUCCUGUGAUCAUUUUUAAAGAACUUUUUCAACAAAUUUACUUAAAAUAGGAACCUAAGUGAAUGGCCAAUGGCCCUUCAGAAUGUUGCUUGGGCUCUUACCGGUAGGGGACUUAUGGAUUGCUUGCAAUACUAUGAUAAUUGCUUGUUUUCUAUAGCAACCAGUACCAUUGACUUUCAUAGCAACCUGCUGGUCAGCCGGAAUCGUAGCCACUGCAGCAUUUACUACCAGUAAAGAGCCAGGCUUUAUUGUUAGCUAACAAAAUUGAUAAUGGAAGUUUUAUAAAUGAAAGCUAGACAAAGUCUAUUUCAGAAAUUUAGCAGGUUUAGCAUUUAUCUGUAUUUAUUUACUCUUAUUAUUUUCCUAAAAUGUAAAUACUAUAACACAAUUGAAUUAGUUUGUAAUGGUACAACAGUUAAAAAAUAGUUGCUUAAAAUUUCAGGGUCCAAUCCUGUAAACUGUCAGCCAAGCAAAAUAGAUGUGAUGGAGGAGACAAGUGAUAACAAACUAAUCAAAAGAAGAAAUGUCAUAUCUUGGAUAAAAAUGGUUACCUUCAACAACUAGAUAUAUUGGUCACAGUUAAAUUAAAUAUUGUUGUCAAGAAGAUUUUCCCUAUUCAUCGUAGAGGAGCAGAAACAUGUUUGGAUGGAACAUGUGCUUAAACCUUGCUUAAGUUUUGUUGAAACUUUCAUUUGAUAUACUGAAGAUGGUUGUUGAAUAUUGUUUGUUAACAAUAUCUAUAUGGCUAUAUGGCUGUAAAGAGAGAUGUUGAAAGGUGCAAUUUUAGUGCAAAAAUGUGCAUGUUUAACAACAUGUUGAAUGAACAAACAUUAUAAUGCAGUAAAACACUAGGAAUCAUUAUGUUUUCAAAACUUUAUAACAACUUAGUAAAUGUGUCGGAAUGUCCAUAUAUCCAUCCACCAAAAGGAGGUAUCUACAUGUUAGUGAAACUUAAUACAUUAUAGAUGGAUAAAUCUCAUUGGGGAGAAAUGAUGUGUUGAAUUUUAAUAUGCCCGAAACAAUUUCGGGCAUAUUAUGUUAUACCCCCUGGCAUCUGUUCCUCCGUACGAACCCAGAGGUACUUGUGUGACUGGGUAACAGUAUAUAAAUAACACAUGGGUUUGUUGGUAACAGUAAAAAUAUCAUCCCGAGGAAAAUACUGUUACCCGAGGAUGAUUGUCCAUAUUAUUAUUAGGUAGAAGACACCUAUUGAUUUUGAGGUCACAAGAUCAAAGGUCAAGAACUGAAAACAGUUUCCGGAGCAUAACUUAAGUUCCAUUUGGCCCACAGUGUUCAAACUUCAUAGGAUGAUUGUCUAUAUUGGGUAGAAAAUCCCUAUUGAUUUUGGGGUCACAAGGUCAAAGGUCAAGGUCAUUAUUACUUUAAAACUGAAAACAGUUUCCGGAACAUAACUUAAGUUUCAUUUGGCCCACAAUAUAAAAACUUCACAGGAUGAUUGUCCAUAUUGGGUAGAAGACCCCUAUUGAUUUUGGGGUCACAAGGUCAGAGGUCAAGAUCAUUAUUACUUUAAAACUGAAAACAGUUUCCGGAACAUGACUUAAGUUCCAUUUGGCCCACAGUAUUUAAACUUUAUAGGAUGAUUGGCCAUAUUGGGUAGAACACCACUAUUGAUUUUGGGAUCACAAGGUCAGAGGUCAAGGUCACUAUUACUUUAAAAGUGAAAACAGUUUCCGGAGAAUAACUUAAGUUCCAUUUGGCCCACAUUUGGCCUAGCGGUGCUCUUGUUAGUUUUCAGCUCAAUUUUUUU